rfam:Ictidomys tridecemlineatus contig039434, whole genome shotgun sequence.
GGGGUUGUAGCUCAGUGGUAGAGCGCUUGCCUUGCAUGCGUGAGGCUCUUGGUUCGAUCCUCAACACCA